CCUACGGGUGUCUGCAGUGAGGAAUAUUGGUCAAUGGGCGAGAGCCUGAACCAGCCAAGUCGCGUGAGGGAAGACGGUCCUACGGAUUGUAAACCUCUUUUGUCAGGGAGCACGGCGCGCCACGCGUGGUGCGGCGAGAUUACCUGACGAACAAGCAUCGGCUAACUCCGUGCCAGCAGCCGCGGUAAUACGGAGGAUGCGAGCGUUAUCCGGAUUUAUUGGGUUUAAAGGGUGCGCAGGCGGAAGCGGCAAGUCAGCGGUAAAAUUGCGGGGCUCAACCUCGCCGAGCCGUUGAAACUGCUCGUCUAGAGUGGGCGAGAAGUAUGCGGAAUGCGUGGUGUAGCGGUGAAAUGCAUAGAUAGCACGCAGAACUCCGAUUGCGAAGGCAGCAUACCGGAGCCAAACUGACGCUCAUGCACGAAAGCGUGGGUAUCGAACAGGAUUAGAUACCCGGGUAGUC
rnacentral:rRNA from 1 species